UAUUGGUCAAUGGACGCAAGUCUGAACCAGCCAUGCCGCGUGAAGGAUUAAGGUCCUCUGGAUUGUAAACUUCUUUUAUUUGGGACGAAAAAGGGUCUUUCUAGAUCAACUGACGGUACCAGAUGAAUAAGCACCGGCUAACUCCGUGCCAGCAGCCGCGGUAAUACGGAGGGUGCAAGCGUUAUCCGGAUUCACUGGGUUUAAAGGGUGCGUAGGCGGGUAGGUAAGUCAGUGGUGAAAUCCUUGAGCUCAACUCGAGAACUGCCAUUGAUACUAUUUAUCUUGAAUAUUGUGGAGGUAAGCGGAAUAUGUCAUGUAGCGGUGAAAUGCUUAGAUAUGACAUAGAACACCUAUUGCGAAGGCAGCUUACUACGCAUAUAUUGACGCUGAGGCACGAAAGCGUGGGGAUCAAACAGGAUUAGAUACCCUGGUAGUCCACGCCCUAAACUAUGAUUACUCGACAUUUGUGAUACACUAUAAGUGUCUGAGCGAAAGCAUUAAGUAAUCCACCUGGGAAGUACGUCCGCAAGGAUGAAACU
rnacentral:rRNA from 1 species